GCACUAAUGGGGUAGUGGUAACCUCGGAGUUUCCCAUCAGGAUACUACUCUGGCCCCGUGUUCGAUUCACGGUUAGUGCA
rnacentral:tRNA from 1 species